rnacentral:rRNA from 1 species
AGAGUUUGAUCCUGGCUCAGGACGAACGCUGGCGGCGUGCCUAAUACAUGCAAGUCGAACGCACUGACGGAGAACUUGUUCUCUUGACGUGAGUGGCGCACGGGUGAGUAACACGUGGGAAACCUACCCUUCAGCGGGGGAUAACCAUCGGAAACGAUGACUAAUACCGCAUAGACGACAGAACCGCCUGGUUCAAUCGGGAAAGACGGCUUCGGCUGUCACUGAAGGAUGGUCCCGCGCUGCAUUAGCUAGUUGGUAAGGUAACGGCUUACCAAGGCGAUGAUGCAUAGCCGACCUGAGAGGGUGAUCGGCCACAUUGGGACUGAGACACGGCCCGAACUCCUACGGGAGGCAGCAGUAGGGAAUCUUCCGCAAUGGACGCAAGUCUGACGGAGCAACGCCGCGUGUGUGAAGAAGGUUUUCGGAUCGUAAAGCACUGUUAUUAGAGAAGAACAGCCGAUAGAGUAACUGUGAUCGGUUUGACGGUAUCUAACCAGAAAGUGACGGCUAACUACGUGCCAGCAGCCGCGGUAAUACGUAGGUCACAGGCGUUGUCCGGAUUUAUUGGGCGUAAAGGGAGCGCAGGCGGUUUGUUAAGUCUGAUGUGAAAGCCCACGGCUCAACCGUGGAACGGCAUUGGAAACUGGCAAACUUGAGUAUAGAAGAGGAAAGUGGAAUUCCAUGUGUAGCGGUGAAAUGCGUAGAUAUAUGGAGGAACACCAGUGGCGAAGGCGACUUUCUGGUCUAUAACUGACGCUGAGGCUCGAAAGCGUGGGGAGCGAACAGGAUUAGAUACCCUGGUAGUCC